GCUUGUGUAGCUCAGUUGGUAGAGUGUUCACCUAGCAUUCAUGAAGUCCUGGGUUCAAUUCCCAGCAUUGCA
rnacentral:tRNA from 1 species